ACAGGUCACUCUGUUCCUGCGGCAAGACUAGGUGUGGUCAAAUAACUCCUGAUUUAUCAGCUGAUUGGCCAGCCAGUCAAGGCCUUCGUACAGGCCAUCACCGCUGGUUGCACAGGUGGCCUGGAUGUACCAGUUGCGGUGACGCAGUGAGUGGAGGCCCAGCUUAUCUGUGAUCUCAGCUGCAUUCAUUGCAUUAGGCAGGUCCUGAGGUUACAAGGUGCAUUUGUCCUAAAGAUUACUGAUUCUAGGUAGGUUGGACAGAUGGAGAGAAAGAAUGAAGAGUGAACCUGUUUGUUGGCGAAAACUAGGAGAACAGCAUCACGCAGCUCAUCUUCUGCCAACAUCCUCAUCAGCUCCUCCCUGGCUUCGUUCACACGCUCUCGAUCGUUACUGUCCACCACAAAGA